UUGUAGAAGUCUUACUUAUUAGAAUGAGAUUAGUGAGAAUAUUGUAUUGAGGACAUAAUUCGUUGAGGAAGAAAUACCCAAAGUUAUUCCCUGAGAUGAGUUACGAGGGCGUAACUCGUUUUCUUUAAGAGGGGUAGAAUGCGAUAGAAAUUCGCGCUUUUUACCUAUUUUUAUAGUAUUUUUAUGCAUUUUAUGCUUAUUUUUAGCAACUUAUAUAUGUUGAUGCAAGUAAAUAGAUUCUCCGCAUAAGAAAAUGUGUUUUUGAGUAUUACAAGUAACUCUUAGUUGGCAAAAUAAUGCACAAGAGUGGCACAAAGUACUUCUACAAUAAGAAUAAGUUGAAAAGUUUGGAAAAAUACGUGAAUUUUCGUGUCAAGUUUCGGGGCGAAACUUCUUUUAAGAGGGGUAGAUUGUAAUCCCCCGUAAUUUUAUACAUUUCAUUUAUAUAUUUUACCGUAUAUUUAAUAUAUUUAAAUAAGAAUUUAUGAAUUUUGGAAAUAAAUAUAUAAUUAACAUAUAUUUAUUUAUUACAUAUUAAUAUUUUCAACGAUUUACGAAAUCGAAAAUGAUUUUAGAAUUUUAAGUAGAAAAGAAUUUGAAUUACGAAAAUUGAUUGAAUUUAGAAAACGAUCCUAUUCAGUUUUGGAUUCGAAUCAUAAAAGCUAAAUCCUAAUUCUAGCCCACUUGGGAAAGCCCAAUAUUAAAACCCAAAACUCAAACCCUCCCUUUACUCUAAUUCACGUAAAACAAAAAUAAAAAAAAUAAACAAAGCCAAAACCCCAUUUGAACUUCACGUGAAAACGCAAAAGAGAAAAAAAAAAAAGAAGCAAAACCUAUCUCUCAUUCAAACUCACGUAAACUAGCAAACCCUCAAACCUUGGUACUCUCUGCCCAGCCGCCAGCCACCAUACACCCGCCGGACCUCCACCGUCCUCGUCACAGCCGCCCCAGCCGCCGACCACCUACCGCCGCCGCGACCGCCAGCUGCACGCAGCAACCGAGUCGCGCCACCCUCUCCUUGCUGUCGCCGAGCAGUGCUGCCGCCUCCGGCCGCGCCUCACCGCCUGCCGCCGUCGUCCUCUCUCGUCGGCGGAGAAUUCUCCUUAGGCGACUUUUGAAUUAUUAAAGUGGUCUUGCAGUUUGUUUACACAAGUCUCUAAGGAUCAAUAAGCGUUGCCCAUCUACAGGUUUGAAGAUGAUGCAUCAUUGGGAUCGGGAUUAGAGAGCUUGUAGUUAUAUUUGUUUUAUUAAGUGAUUUGGGUUGUUAACUUAUAUUUGAAAGUUGUCGUACUAUUCGUAUUUCCUUAUUUCCGUUAAUUGGUUUUGGACUUAGUAUGUAAUCGAUUAUUUAUGAACCUAAAAGUUAGUUUUAUGUUUUCCGCUGCAAAAUUCUGAAUAAGCCGUACGUUUUCAC